rnacentral:rRNA from 1 species
CGACGGGUGAGUAAUGCUUAGGAAUCUGCCCAGUAGUGGGGGACAACUCGGGGAAACUCGAGCUAAUACCGCAUACGCCCUAUGGGGGAAAGUGGAGGAUCUUCGGACUUCACGCUAUUGGAUGAGCCUAAGUCGGAUUAGCUUGUUGGUGAGGUAAAGGCUCACCAAGGCGACGAUCCGUAGCUGGUCUGAGAGGACGAUCAGCCACACUGGGACUGAGACACGGCCCAG